GCUGUACAUAAUUAGCCAUCCAGGAUAGAAGGGUCUGGGAUUCCUUUAUGAGGUGCAACCAAAACAGCUGUUUGACAUAGCAACAGGGAUAUUCGGUCAAGGUGUCUCUCUAGCAUUUGUUCUUAAUACCGUUGUGGUUUUGAUCACUAAAAUGGCUGUGACUUUUGGACUCUCGUUGAGUGUUUCUUGGAUUUGCUGCCUGCUAAUUGGAGGGAUAACUUGUUUUACACUUAAAGGUAAUUCUAAUGGGCAUCAUGCCUACACUGGACCUGAACCAACUGGAUCCUAUGCCAAAGCAAGUGUGGUGCCUAGUCCAAAUGCUAAAGCUACUGGCCACAAUGCCACGUCAGCAGAAGCUACUGGCCACAAUGCCACGUCAGCAGAAGCUACUGGCCACAAUGCCACGCCAGCAGAAUCUACUGGCCACAAUGCCCCGUCAAGUGUGAAGUCCGGCCCCAGCGCCUCAGCAGAAGCGUCCGGCCCCGGCGCCUCAGCAGAAGCGUCCGGCGCCUCAGCAGAAGCGUCCGGCCCCGGCGCCUCAGCAGAAGCGUCCGGCGCCUCAGCAGAAGCGUCCGGCCCCGGCGCCUCAGCAAUAGCGUCCGGCGCCUCAGCAAUAGCGUCCGGCCCCGGCGCCUCAGCAAUAGCGUCCGGCGCCUCAGCAGAAGCGUCCGGCCCCGGCGCCUCAGCAGAAGCGUCAAGCCUUGAACAGACCGCCCGACCACUCAACUAGGGAGAUCAUAAUUUGGUUUGCAUAACUCCUUAAUUGUCGUUCCCCUGUUACUGUGCCUCCCUUUAGAAGAAAAGGUAACUGAGGUGGGGAAAUGUGCCAACUAAUGCUCUUGUUUGAAAUGAGGAUCUCCUUCACUUGUCCAGCGUCAUGCAAAUUGUUUACAGGGGUGGACGCUACAAUGGUAUAAAUGGUUUUUAUAACCAUACGACUAAAAUUGACUUCUGACUUGCCAAUAUUGCUGACACACUUUUAGGUUCUACGGUUAUGCUUUUGAUUUAGCCUGGUGUUCCUGCUACUCUUCCAUGAUAUGCUCAAUAAACAAUUUGACUUUCAAUAUACCUUGUCCUUAAAAUAUAAUAUUCUCUUCUGCCUGCCAUGUGCUUGCUGUUUGGGAACAGACUGUGGGUCUGGAGUAAAAGGGAAUGUGGAUCACAACACUUGUGUAAACAGGUAUGUUUACCUUUGUUUCUGGUAGUUCAAAUGCUCAAGUUCUCUAAAUUGUCAGAGCUCCCUCAUAUGUUCAUACUUUACCUGUCCCUUUGUGAAGGGUGUUUGAUUUACUGUAAUCUGCCUGUUACCAU
rnacentral:lncRNA from 1 species